GACGAACCGAGCAAACGUUAUUCGGAAUCACUGGGCUUAAAGGGCGCGUAGGCGGGCAUCCAAGUCUGUGGUGAAAUCCGGCAGCUUAACUGUCGAACUGCCGUGGAUACUGGGUGUCUCGAGGGAGGUAAGGGCGUGCGGAACUAUUGGUGGAGCGGUGAAAUGCGUUGAUAUCAAUAGGAACUCCGGUGGCGAAGGCGGCACGCUGGACCUCUUCUGACGCUGAGGCGCGAAAGCCAGGGGAGCAAACGGG
rnacentral:rRNA from 1 species